AUAGUCCUUCAACCAAUCAGACCAACGCUCCGGGUGACGUAGCAGCGCCACCUUUGAAAAAUGGG